UUUCGCACUGGACUAGGAGCGGUAAGUCGGUACCUAUUAUUAUUAGGAAAUAGUUUUAGGUGCUCGUGUUCAGACGUAAUGAGGGUG
rnacentral:tRNA from 1 species